AAAAAAAGAAACCAGGAGACACGUUCGUGGUCACUUAAGACUUUCCCAGACAAUAACGUGUUAUUUUUGCCUUUGAGGUGUUUUUCUUUCUGCCUCGAUUCCAGCCACAGUCCUAUCCUGGCAGUGAGCAAAUCCCACACGCAGUUCUGAGCAGGACACUGAGGCUCAGAUGCAACAUGGGGCAGCCAGGAAGAUGCCUGAGGCGGUGCCCCACACACAGGAGGCACCAGGACAGACUUUGGCCGGGCGGCAGGCUGCAGCAACGCCCAUGUCUCCACUUCCAGACAGCCCCUCCAUCUCACAGGACAGAGACAGGGCCGGCUCAGCAGCUGGUACCCACUGCUUUAUUCUUUCCUGUUGUUAUUAUUUUUAAGUUCACCUGCAGCUGCAGUACACACAUACCACUUUAUCUGGCUAGCUGCUGUUCAGAAGACACUGUUCCUGAAUUCAGGAAAAAUUUUUUUAAAGACCUGAGAACAAUUCCUGUGACUUCUUAGCUUUGAUGAAGUGCAUUUACUUUGACAUUGAUAUAGCUUGUAACUACUUUUGGAAUUUUUUUCCGUAACACAUUGAUCUCAUCAAGGGUAUUAUGCGUUUUCCACCAGAAAGUGCAGAGGUAUUAUCUUUUUCUUGGAAACCAAUUGAAAACGUCCCAUUUUAACAAAAUGACGUAAAAUUACAAACAUUUACAUGAUUAAAUUCAAAGCCUUAUCCAUCUGGUGGUAAGAAAUAAAAUGUUAACUUAUUUUAAAAGAUGUAUUUGAUAUAAAGACUUACAUCUUUAUAUCAAAAGAAUCGGUUGGGCUUGCAUGAGCAAUGGCUCCCAGCUCUGCGGAGGGUUUGAGCCAUGCCCUUGCCGGGGCCGCUCCAAGCUCCGACUUCGAAACUUGGAGUUUCCCAGCUGCGAACAGCUGGUCAAAGGCACUCUCAGAAGUUCAAGGAAAUGCCCGUUUGCAAAUGGCCGCAGCAGUCCUGUGGGUCUGGGGACAGCGCCAAGGAGCUGGCCGUUGGUUCCUGAGAUGCUCCUGCUCUGCCAUGUUCUAAGGACGUGCGAGCGGAGCUCUUCUCCGG